GAUGAACGCUAGCUACAGGCUUAACACAUGCAGGUCGAGGGGAAACGAUAGAGAAAGCUUGCUUUUUCUAGGCGUCGACCGGCGCACGGGUGAGUAACGCGUAUCCAACCUGCCCAUCACUUGGGGAUAACCUUGCGAAAGUAAGACUAAUACCCAAUGACGUCUCUAGAAGACAUCUGAAAGGCAUUAAAGAUUUAUCGGUGAUGGAUGGGGAUGCGGCUGAUUAGCUUGGUGGCGGGGUAACGGCCCACCAAGGCGACGGUCAGUAGGGGGUCUGAGAGGAAGGUCACCCACAUUGGAAAUGGGACCCGGUACAAACUGGUACGGGAGGCAGCAGUGGGGAAUAUUGGUCAAUGGACGAGAGUAUGGACCAGCCAAGUAGCGUGCAGGAUGACGGCCCUAUGGGUUGUAAACUGCUUAUAUAAGGGGAUAAAGUGAGGGUCGUGACUCUUUUUGCAUGUACCUUAUGAAUAAGGACCGGCUAAUUCCGUGCCAGCCGCCGCAGUAA
rnacentral:rRNA from 1 species